rnacentral:rRNA from 1 species
GCGCGAACACUUUACAAUGCGGGGAACCGCGAUCCGGGGACACCGAGUGCCAGCAUCCUAUGUUGGCUGUCCAUAUGUCUAAAUCACAUGUGUUAGCAAGGGCCGGGCAAGACCGGUGCCAGCCGCCGCGGUAACACCGGCGGCCCGAGUGGUGGCCACUAUUAUUGGGUCUAAAGGGUCCGUAGCCGGUUUGGUCAGUCUUCCGGGAAAUCUGACGGCUUAACCGUUAGGCUUUCGGGGGAUACUACCAGGCUUGGGACCGGGAGAGGUAAGAGGUACUACGGGGGUAGGAGUGAAAUCUUGUAAUCCCUGUGGGACCACCAGUGGCGAAGGCGUCUUACCAGAACGGGUCCGACGGUGAGGGACGAAAGCUGGGGGCACGAACC